rnacentral:rRNA from 1 species
CAAUAGCGUAUACUAAUGUUGUUGCAGUUAGAAAGCUCGUAGUUGAACUUCUGGUAGGAGUGUCCCGGCCUUUUUGUUUUUACAAAUUGUAUGCUGUGUGACAUCUCUGGCCAUCCUUCUUCUUUGUUUAAAGAAGAUCUUUCACUGUAAAAAAAUUAGGGUGUUCAAAGCAAAAGUUUCUUUGGAAUAUAUUAGUAUGGGAUGAUAAGAUAGGCUCUAGAUGCUAUUUUGUUGGUUUGCACAUUUAGAGAAUGAUUAACAGGGACAGUUGGGGGUAUUCGCAUUUACAUGUCAGAGGUGAAAUUCUUGGAUUUUGGAAAGACGAACUACUGCGAAAGCAUUUACCAAGGAUGUUUUCAUUAA